rnacentral:rRNA from 1 species
AAACCAACAGGGAUUGCCUCAGAAACGGCGAGUGAAGCGGCAAAAAGCUCAAAUUUGAAAUCCCCCCGGGGAAUUGUAAUUUGAAGAUUGUGUUUUGGAAACGACCGUGUCUAUGUUCCUUGGAACAGGACGUCACAGAGGGUGAGAAUCCCGUGCGGCACGGCCACCGUUUCCUUAUAAAACACUCUCGACGAGUCGAGUUGUUUGGGAAUGCAGCUCAAAGUGGGUGGUAAAUUCCAUCUAAAGCUAAAUACAGGCGAGAGACCGAUAGCGAACAAGUACAGUGAUGGAAAGAUGAAAAGCACUUUGAAAAGAGAGUGAAACAGUACGUGAAAUUGUUGAAAGGGAAGGGCAUGCUGUCAGAUUGUCAGUGUGGGUAAGAAGCGGGGUACAAAGACUGUGGAACGUGGCCCUCGGGUGUUAUAGCCACAGUUCAUCCCCCGUCUCUUUCCGAGGCCUGCUUUGAGGACACCGACGUAAUGACGGUACGCCGCCCGUCUUGAAACACGGA